GACCAAUAGGUGGCGGUCAGCUUGUGACAGUUCAGUUGGUACUCGACGGUCAGCAGCAACAACUGUAUAGAAAAAAGAUUUCGUAACUUUGCCUUGAUUUAAAAGAAAGAAAUGGACUAAAAUAAUGACCAUGGAUGCCGAGGGCCCCCAGGCCCUGUGCGACCUCUGCUUGGCUCAGGUGUGCCGCAGCCUGGACGCUCUGUGCAGCAAGCGAGCAGACGGCUCCAUUUGCCUCAGCUGGGCCCCGCUAUUCCCACAGGAGAUGGCAGACCAGUUACUGCGUAAGAUGGCAACUAAAGGGAUACUGAAUGACACAACUGUUGGGAUUUUCCGAAAUUGCAAAGAGCUCCGCCUGCGCCGAGCCUCUAUCCGCUGCUGUUCAGUGUCUGCAGAAGCUUUCCGGCUGGCCCUUUGCCCUCACCGGCUCCAGGAACUAGACGCCUCCUGGGUCUCUGGCGGCCUCACUGGGGCUAACAUCGUCAUAGGCCUGGCCUCCAACCCGGAGUGCAGAUCCAGCCUGCAGAGGUUGUCCCUCACUGGGCUACAUGUGGACUCAGAGUCUCUGGCGGAGGAUGGAGGGACUCGUGUUGGCUUCAGCUCCCUGCAGGGUUUGAGGACGCUCAACCUUGCCAACACAGACUUGACUGAUGCUGUCCUUGAGGACAUCUGCACUCUCCCUCAGCUGGAGAGCCUGGACAUCUCCUGCAGUGCCAUCUCAAAGCUUACCGCACUCCUUGAUUGCAAAAACACCCUAAGAUCUUUGAUCACCCACCGGCUACGUCAGCUGGAUAUGUCGCCUGCUAGCUUGCUCUUUGUCCUCAGCCAACUUCACGCUCUCAGGCAUCUAGACUUUUCAGAGGACCAUUUUGCUGUGGAUGACAGUGACGGGAAAGACGGCGAUGAGACAUUGCGGCAGCUUCUGGAGGGGAGUCCUCAGGUCCUCCCUUCCCUUGUUUCUCUAGAUAUCUCUGGGCGGAAGAGAAUCACCGAAGCAGCAGUCAGAGCCUUUGUGGAGGCCAGAGGUGGACUGUUCUUCUUGGGCCUGCUAGCCACCGAGGCUAGCUCCUGUGAUGUGCUGUCUUCACGGAAAAACCUCAAAGUAACUGGAGAUGCUAAUGAGGACCAGGUGUGUGAGGCCCUGAGAAGGUACAGAGACCGUGAGUGUUUCGUACGAGAGGCCCUCGUCCAUCUCUACAAUCUAACCACUGACAUUGACAAACCACGGCCAGAUAUACUAAAGCUGGUUCUGAGUGCGAUGCAGAGCCACACCAACUCCCUGCAUGUCCACCUGGUGGCCACAGCGUGUGUGUUCAACCUGACCACUCAGAACCUGGCAGAGGCCAUGCCUCUCAGCCUGCUCAGCUCCACUGUCACCCAGCUGCUGUACGCCAUGAAGACCUUCCCCAACCACCAACAGGUGCAAAAGAACUGUCUGCUGGCGCUCUGCAGUGACUACAUCCUUCAGGAUGUCCCUUUUGACAAGUAUUUAGCAGCCAUGCUGGUGAUUAACUGGCUGUGCAGCCAUGAGGAUCCUACCCUUCAGAGGAUGGCUGUGGCUGUCAUCUCCAUUCUGGUGGCCAAGUUGUCCACAGAGGAGACCGCUCAGCUCGGCAAGGACGUCUUUAUUAUGAAGCUGCUGGCUAUUGUGCAGCAGAAAGCCAUGUUGGGAGUGGUGGACUCCACUCUGAAGUUUGCCCUGAGUGCUCUGUGGAACCUGACGGAUGAGAUGCCCACCGCUGCUCGCAAUUUCAUCGAGUGCCAGGGCCUGGAGCUGUACGAGGAGGUUCUCGAGUCCUACUACACAGAACCGUCCAUUCAGCAGAAAGUUCUUGGCCUCCUGAACAACAUAGCAGAGGUGGAGGUGUUACAGGCGGACCUGAUGCGGGAGGACCUGCUGGAGCACAUCCUCAGCCUGCUGCAGGACUCCCAGGUGGAGGUGGGGGUCCGGUACUUUGCAGGGGGGACUCUGGCACAGCUGGCCUCCAGACCAGAGGCCUGGACCCUGGGUGAUGAGCUCCGCAGCACCAUACUAAAGCACCUGCAUGCAUCCAUAAUGACAUGGACCCAACUCGAGAGAGAAAUGGUCUCUUACAGGUCGUUCAGUCCAUUUUGCCCUCUGCUUCAGACUUUGCAGCCCUCAGGAGUGCAGCUGUGGGCAGUGUGGGCCAUACAUCUGGUCUGCAGUCAAAACACUUCACAUUACAGCAGCAUGAUGGAGAAGGAGGGUGUGACUGAACUUCUGAAGGCUUUGGCUGCACAUCCCGAAACACACGCCGACAUUAAAGGACUGUCAGACAGCAUCUUGCGCAUGGUAGAGCAACACCAUAGUCACUCAGGGUCCUUCUACAACCAGAUGGGGCCUUGAAACUCUUGACAAAAGUGCAAGAAAUUGAUUUUAUUUAAUUCAUUGUUGAGCUGUGCCUAAAAUGUGCUAGACAUGAGGUUGCAGAUACAGUAUUAAAGGGCAGGCAGUUCACAUCAGUCAUUUUAAAACUUAAGUUAAACGGAAUA